UCCUCGGUAGUAUAGUGGUGAGUAUCCGCGUCUGUCACAUGCGAGACCCGUGUUCAAUUCCCGGCCGGGGAG
rfam:Caenorhabditis tropicalis strain JT1373 unplaced genomic scaffold Scaffold630, whole genome shotgun sequence.